UACGGAAGGCAGCAGUGGGGAAUAUUGCACAAUGGGCGCAAGCCUGAUGCAGCCAUGCCGCGUGUAUGAAGAAGGCCUUCGGGUUGUAAAGUACUUUCAGCGGGGAGGAAGGCGAUGCGGUUAAUAACCGCGUCGAUUGACGUUACCCGCAGAAGAAGCACCGGCUAACUCCGUGCCAGCAGCCGCGGUAAUACGGAGGGUGCAAGCGUUAAUCGGAAUUACUGGGCGUAAAGCGCACGCAGGCGGUCUGUUAAGUCAGAUGUGAAAUCCCCGGGCUUAACCUGGGAACUGCAUUUUGAAACUGGCAGGCUUGAGUCUUGUAGAGGGGGUAGAAUUCCAGGUGUAGCGGUGAAAUGCGUAGAGAUCUGGAGGAAUACCGGUGGCGAAGGCGGCCCCUGGGACAAGACUGACGCUCAGGUGCGAAAGCGUGGGGAGCGAAACAGGAUUAGGAUACC
rnacentral:rRNA from 1 species